rnacentral:lncRNA from 1 species
UGACUUUAUUUCAUCUCUACUAAAUAAUUCAGUCAUUCUCCUUUUUCAACAGAUGCCACUGCCACGAUAGGUUGACUAAUCACUUGGUAUAAUACAGAUGAAAAGAAUAUUACUUUUCUCUUUUACUUCUCCAGAGAAUGUUGCCAAGUUAUUUAAUUACAAUUUAUUGCCAGCAGUUGAAUAUAAUAGUGAUAAAUCCUUUUAGAUUAUACCCUAAUUCCACUUACAGUUGGUGAUUAAACAACUGUAUAAUCACCCAAAAUGGAAACCUAAUGAGUCUAUCAAAUACGAGGUCUAUGUCCAUCAUAAGGCGAGUUAAGUCUGCUUCUGCUAUCUCUCCAAGGCAGCAGCAGAGCACAACUUAUUUGGGGUAGCUGGAAGUUCUGUUAGAUUAAGGUUUAUUUUCACAGUUUAUUUGCUAGAAGUAGGGUCUUGGAACGUGAUUGGUUGAGAAUGAAGAAAUUUGAUUGAGGUACCUUUUUGUUGAGAGUGUGUGUGUGUGUGUGUUUGUUUUUUUUUUUUUUUUUUUUUUUAACUUAAUCCCUUGAGAGUUGUCUUGAAUCAGAUGAGAACUACCAUUUAAGAAAAGGAAACUAUGUUGUCAGUGGGACAAAGAGAUGGCAAGAGAUGAAAGAGUGUAUGAAAUGAUGAAAGUUAAGAUGGAGACAACAAUUAUGUAUAAGCUAGCUGAUGCACCAGAUGAAGG